rnacentral:rRNA from 1 species
CAAUAGCGUAUAUUAAAGUUGUUGCGGUUAAAAAGCUCGUAGUUGGAUUUCUGCUGAGGACGAUCGGUCCGCCCUCUGGGUGAGUAUCUGGCUCGGCCUUGGCAUCUUCUUGGAGAACGUUACUGCACUUGACUGUGUGGUGCGGUAUCCAGGACUUUUACUUUGAGGAAAUUAGAGUGUUUCAAGCAGGCGCACGCCUUGAAUACAUUAGCAUGGAAUAAUAAGAUAGGACCUUGGUUCUAUUUUGUUGGUUUCUAGAGCUGAGGUAAUGAUUAAUAGGGAUAGUUGGGGGCAUUCGUAUUUAACUGUCAGAGGUGAAAUUCUUGGAUUUGUUAAAGACGGACUACUGUGAAAGCAUUUGCCAAGGAUGUUUUCAUUGA